AGAAGGAUGGUCUUGUGGUGAAGGCAUAUGCCUGGAGUGCAAAAGAUCUGGGGUCAAUUUCCAGUCCUGUUA
rnacentral:tRNA from 1 species